rnacentral:rRNA from 1 species
CCUGACUGUUAUCGGAUUGAUACUAAGCCAUGCGAGUCUUUGCAGUAAUGCAAGGCAUACGGCUCAGUAACACGUAGUCAACUUACCCUAUGGACGAGGAUAAUCUCGGGAAACUGAGCAUAAUACUCGAUAGAUCAUAAUGCCUGGAAUGGUUUAUGGUUGAAAUGAUUCGUCGCCAUAGGAUGGGACUGCGGCCUAUCAGCUUGUUGGUGAGGUAAUGGCCCACCAAGGCGAUUACAGGUACGGGCUCUGAGAGGAGAAGCCCGGAGAUGGGUACUGAGACAAGGACCCAGGCCCUAUGGGGCGCAGCAGGCGAGAAAACUUUGCAAUGUGCGAAAGCACGACAAGGUUAAUCCGAGUGAUUUCUGCUAAAGAAAUCUUUUGCAAGUCAUAAAACCACUAGUGAAUAAGGGGUGGGCAAGUUCUGGUGUCAGCCGCCGCGGUAAAACCAGCACCUCAAGUGGUCAGGAGGAUUAUUGGGCCUAAAGCAUCCGUAGCCGGCUCUGUAAGUUUUCGGUUAAAUCCAUGUGCUCAACGCAUGGGCUGCCGAAAAUACUGCAUAGCUAGGGAGUGGGAGAGGUAGACGGUACUCGGUAGGAAGGGGUAAAAUCCUUUGAUCUAUUGAUGACCACCUGUGGCGAAGGCGGUCUACCAGAACACGUUCGACGGUGAGGGAUGAAAGCUGGGGGAGCAAACCGGAUUAGAUACCCGGGUAGUCCCAGCUGUAAACGAUGCAGACUCGAUGAUGCAUUGGCAUAUAGCCAGUGCAGUGUCGCAGGGAAGCCGUUAAGUCUGCCGCCUGGGAAGUACGUACGCAAGUGUGAAACUUAAAGGAAUUGGCGGGGGAGCACCACAAGGGGUGAAGCCUGCGGUUC